rnacentral:rRNA from 1 species
UACAGAGGUCUCAAGCGUUUGUUCGGAUUCAUUGGGCGUAAAGGGUGCGUAGGUGGCGCCAUAAGUCAGGUGUGAAAUCUCGGGGCUCAACCUCGAAACUGCACUUGAUACUGUGGUGCUCGAGUACUGGAGAGGAGAUUGGAAUUUACGGUGUAGCAGUGAAAUGCGUAGAUAUCGUAAGGAAGACCAGUGGCGAAGGCGAAUCUCUGGACAGUUACUGACACUGAGGCACGAAGGCCAGGGGAGCAAACGGG